CCUACGGGGGGCUGCAGUGGGGAAUAUUGGACAAUGGGGGCAACCCUGAUCCAGCCAUGCCGCGUGUGUGAAGAAGGCCCUCGGGUUGUAAAGCACUUUCAGUGAGGAAGAACGCCUGGUGGUUAAUACCCAUCAGGAAAGACAUCACUCACAGAAGAAGCACCGGCUAACUCCGUGCCAGCAGCCGCGGUAAUACGGAGGGUGCGAGCGUUAAUCGGAAUUACUGGGCGUAAAGCGCGCGUAGGUGGCUUGAUAAGCCGGUUGUGAAAGCCCCGGGCUCAACCUGGGAACGGCAUCCGGAACUGUCAAGCUAGAGUGCAGGAGAGGAAGGUAGAAUUCCCGGUGUAGCGGUGAAAUGCGUAGAGAUCGGGAGGAAUACCAGUGGCGAAGGCGGCCUUCUGGACUGACACUGACACUGAGGUGUGAAAGCGUGGGUAGCAAACAGGAUUAGAUACCCUGGUAGUC
rnacentral:rRNA from 1 species